CUCGUACUGCUGCGGGACUGCGCUUCAAUGGCUACCCGGGAAAUAGAGCAGCGCCCUCUGCUGGACACUGUACGCGCCAUACAGCGUCAACGCUCAUCUCUGGAGCAGUGACAGGAAGCACUGGUGCUGUGAGAGGAUCUUCUGAUGCAUCUGUGACAGAAGCCUCUCAGACCAGAGCGGCUUUAGCAGGAACCUCUGGGACCAGGGAGGUUGAGAGAGGAGCUCUGGGACUGAAUCAGCCUUGAACACCAGCUCUGGCUGAAGCUGCGACCGCAAACACUGGGGCGGCCUUGACUGGAACU